AUUGAACGCUGGCGGCAGGCCUAACACAUGCAAGUCGAACGAGUGGCGGACGGGUGAGUACUGUCUGGGACACGGCCUGAUGGAGGGGGAUAACUACUGGAAACGGUUGCUAAUACCGCAUACCAUCGGCUUUGCCCAGAUGGGAUUAGCUAGUCGGUGGGGUAAAGGCGCACCUAGGCGACGAGCCCUAGCUGGUCUGAGAGGAUGAUCAGCCACACUGGCACUGAGAAACGGUCCAGACUCCUACGGGAGGCAGCAGUGGGGAAUAUUGCACAAUGGGCGAAAGCCUGAUGCAGCCAUGCCGCGUGUAUGAAGAAGGUCUUCGGGUUGUAAAGUACUUUCAGCGGGGAGGCGUUACCCGCAGAAGAAGCACCGACUAACUCCGUGCCAGCAGCCGCGGUAAUUC
rnacentral:rRNA from 1 species